ACAGUUUUAGGUUAAAAGACUAUAAACCUUCAAAGUUUAAGGACAAGCUGUA
rnacentral:tRNA from 1 species